ACACGUGGUAUCCUGUCUGAAUAUGGGGGGACCAUCCUCCAAGGCUAAAUACUCCUGACUGACCGAUAGUGAACCAGUACCGUGAGGGAAAGGCGAAAAGAACCCCGGCGAGGGGAGUGAAAAAGAACCUGAAACCGUGUACGUACAAGCAGUGGGAGCACGCUUAGGCGUGUGACUGCGUACCUUUUGUAUAAUGGGUCAGCGACUUAUAUUCUGUAGCAAGGUUAACCGAAUAGGGGAGCCGAAGGGAAACCGAGUCUUAACUGGGCGUUAAGUUGCAGGGUAUAGACCCGAAACCCGGUGAUCUAGCCAUGGGCAGGUUGAAGGUUGGGUAACACUAACUGGAGGACCGAACCGACUAAUGUUGAAAAAUUAGCGGAUGACUUGUGGCUGGGGGUGAAAGGCCAAUCAAACCGGGAGAUAGCUGGUUCUCCCCGAAAGCUAUUUAGGUAGCGCCUCGUGAAUUCAUCUCCGGGGGUAGAGCACUGUUUCGGCAAGGGGGUCAUCCCGACUUACCAACCCGAUGCAAACUGCGAAUACCGGAGAAUGUUAUCACGGGAGACACACGGCGGGUGCUAACGUCCGUCGUGAAGAGGGAAACAACCCAGACCGCCAGCUAAGGUCCCAAAGUCAUGGUUAAGUGGGAAACGAUGUGGGAAGGCCCAGACAGCCAGGAUGUUGGCUUAGAAGCAGCCAUCAUUUAAAGAAAGCGUAAUAGCUCACUGGUCGAGUCGGCCUGCGCGGAAGAUGUAACGGGGCUAAACCAUGCACCGAAGCUGCGGCAGCGACACUAUGUGUUGUUGGGUAGGGGAGCGUUCUGUAAGCCUGUGAAGGUGUACUGUGAGGUAUGCUGGAGGUAUCAGAAGUGCGAAUGCUGACAUAAGUAACGAUAAAGCGGGUGAAAAGCCCGCUCGCCGGAAGACCAAGGGUUCCUGUCCAACGUUAAUCGGGGCAGGGUGAGUCGACCCCUAAGGCGAGGCCGAAAGGCGUAGUCGAUGGGAAACAGGUUAAUAUUCCUGUACUUGGUGUUACUGCGAAGGGGGGACGGAGAAGGCUAUGUUGGCCGGGCGACGGUUGUCCCGGUUUAAGCGUGUAGGCUGGUUUUCCAGGCAAAUCCGGAAAAUCAAGGCUGAGGCGUGAUGACGAGGCACUACGGUGCUGAAGCAACAAAUGCCCUGCUUCCAGGAAAAGCCUCUAAGCAUCAGGUAACAUCAAAUCGUACCCCAAACCGACACAGGUGGUCAGGUAGAGAAUACCAAGGCGCUUGAGAGAACUCGGGUGAAGGAACUAGGCAAAAUGGUGCCGUAACUUCGGGAGAA
rnacentral:rRNA from 1 species